AUUGAACGCUGGCGGCAUGCCUUACACAUGCAGGUCGAACGGCAGCGGACCUUCGGGUGCCGGCGAGUGGCGAACGGGUGAGUAAUAUAUCGGAACGUACCUUUCAGUGGGGGAUAACGUAGCGAAAGUUACGCUAAUACCGCAUAUUCUGUGAGCAGGAAAGCAGGGGAUCGCAAGACCUUGCGCUGAUUGAGCGGCCGAUAUCAGAUUAGCUAGUUGGUGAGGUAAAGGCUCACCAAGGCGACGAUCUGUAGCGGGUCUGAGAGGAUGAUCCGCCACACUGGAACUGAGACACGGUCCAGACUCCUACGGGAGGCAGCAGUGGGGAAUUUUGGACAAUGGGCGCAAGCCUGAUCCAGCCAUGCCGCGUGAGUGAAGAAGGCCUUCGGUUGUAAGAC
rnacentral:rRNA from 1 species